GGAGUAAAAGUCGUAACAAGGUUUCCGUAGGUGAACCUGCGGAAGGAUCAUUAAAGAGAAUAUGCCCUUCGGGGUGGAUCUCCCACCCUUUGUUUAUAUUACCUUUGUUGCUUUGGCAGGCCCGUCUUCGGACCACCGGCUUCGGCUGGUCAGUGCUUGCCAGUGGACCCAAAACUCUUAUUAUUAAUGUCGUCUGAGUACUAUAUAAUAGUUAAAACUUUCAACAACGGAUCUCUUGGUUCCG
rnacentral:misc_RNA from 1 species